UUGGUGCUACAGGCUGAGUAGGGGGCUUCUGGCUUCUCUGUGAGGAACUGAGGGACAUGCAGCCAUGUAAGGGCCAGAUAAGGAAAACAUACAUGAAGUAAGACCAGGUCUUCGGACAAUAUCACAAGCAAGAAAUAAGGAGAAGACUCAUGAAGAAAAUUAGGCAAUUUAUGUGCCAAAGAUUCCUGUGUGGCUCACUAUGGGCCAGUGCAGUGCCCAAAACACUGUAGAAUACAGAAAGAGGAAGAUUUCUCCACUAGUCUCACGUGCAAGGUCCACCUGCGUCAGCCCAUGGCUCAAAUGAAUGUGA